rnacentral:sRNA from 1 species
GGACUUCAGAGACUAGGGGUAUCUCCAGGCCUCCUGUGCCUCUAAGUAGGGCUGUCAGGAUGUGUCCCCCAUCACCUCUGCCCCCGCCAUCUCUGAAGGUGAUGGCCGUGCAGGCUUAGGGCUAUGUUCUGCAGGUGAGGGUCUCCUACUUUGGGGAGCAGGAAGACCAAGCCCUGGGCCGCAGCGUGCUUUACCUCACUGGCGUCGCUAUUUCCCUUGAGGUUGACACAGGCCGCACAGGCAAGGUGAAGAGAAGCCAAGGGGAUAAGAAAACCUGGCGCUGGGGCCCUGAGGGCUAUGGGGCUAUCUUGCUGGUGAACUGUGACCGGGACAAUCACAGGUCCGCAGAGCCUGACCUCACCCACAGCUGGCUGAUGUCGCUGGCUGACCUGCAGGACAUGUCCCCAAUGCUGCUGAGCUGCAAUGGCCCCGACAAGCUCUUUGACAGCCACAAGCUUGUCUUGAACGUGCCCUUUUCUGAUUCCAAAAGAGUGAGGGUCUUCCGUGCCAGGG